rnacentral:rRNA from 1 species
AUUGAACGCUGGCGGCAGGCUUAACACAUGCAAGUCGAGCGGAGAUGAGGUGCUUGCACCUUAUCUUAGCGGCGGACGGGUGAGUAAUGCUUAGGGAUCUGCCUAUUAGUGGGGGACAACAUUCCGAAAGGAAUGCUAAUACCGCAUACGCCCUACGGGGGAAAGCAGGGGAUCUUCGGACCUUGCGCUAAUAGAUGAGCCUAAGUCGGAUUAGCUAGUUGGUGGGGUAAAGGCCUACCAAGGCGGCGAUCUGUAGCGGGUCUGAGAGGAUGAUCCGCCACACUGGGACUGAGACACGGCCCAGACUCCGACGGGAGGCAGCAGUGGGGAAUAUUGGACAAUGGGCGGAAGCCUGAUCCAGCCAUGCCGCGUGUGUGAAGAAGGCCUUUUGGUUGUAAAGCACUUUAAGCGAGGAGGAGGCUACUUGGAUUAAUACUCUAGGAUAGUGGACGUUACUCGCAGAAUAAGCACCGGCUAACUCUGUGCCAGCAGCCGCCGUAA